rnacentral:lncRNA from 1 species
UGCUGAGUUCCAGAAAACCACUCUUCCUGAAAAUCUGGAAACAAUAUUCUCUGUGGCAGAUAUCCUCAUCAAGGAAGGUCUCUCUGGGCUCUCAUAAAGAGUUUACCUCAAUCCAGCUGCAACUUCAUUAAAUGGAGGACUGAGUUUCCAACAAGAAAAGGUCAACAUUUCCAUUUGGGCAUUCAAACAUCUCCAAGAUGGGCUUGAAGCUUUAGUGUUCUAUUGAUUCAGCCAUCUCCAUGCUGAGCACAGAACUUUGCCCAGAAUAGAUGGGCUGUGUCAAUCAAAGCCCACCAGUGGGGUUAUUUAUUUUCAGUUUGAUUCACAGGGCUAUCAAAUAUCGAAACUGAAGGAGAUCAAGGUAAUUGUACUUCAGUUUAAAUUUGCAAAUGGAACUUUCACAACUGAUACAUUACUGAAGCUGAAAUUCAUGAGAAACUCUUUGAAAUGACAAGGUUUUCUCCUGCUUUCAUUUGGCCUGUGUUUACCAAACACUCACUAAAUACAAAAACACUAAAUUAGGGUCUCCAGAGGAGAAGCUGACUCUAAAUUAAAAAAAAAAAUGUAAUUACGUGCCAAGUGACAUGGAAAUAUAAAGUACUGCUGAUCAAGGAGGGAGUCUAUGAUUUGGAACAUAA